rnacentral:rRNA from 1 species
UACGUAGGUGGCAAGCGUUGUCCGGAUUUACUGGGCGUAAAGAGCGCGCAGGCGGUCGUUCAAGUCGCGUGUGAAAGCCCCCGGCUCAACUGGGGAGGGUCACGCGAUACUGAUCGACUGGAAGGCAGGAGAGGGUAGUGGAAUUCCCGGUGUAGUGGUGAAAUGCGUAGAUAUCGGAAGGAACAUCAGUGGCGAAAGCGACUUCCUGGACCAAUACUGACGCUCAUGUGCGAAAGCGUGGGGAGCAAACAGG